rnacentral:rRNA from 1 species
GCAAGUCGAGCGGCAACAGGGGUAGCUUGCUACCCGCUGACGAGCGGCGGACGGGAGAGUCAUGCGUAGAAAUCUGCCUAGUAGUGGGGGAUAGCCCAGAGAAAUUUGGAUUAAUACAGCAUACGCCCUACGGGGGAAAGAAGGGGACCUUCGGGCCUUUUGCUAGUAGAUGAGUCUGCGUCGGAUUAGCUAGUUGGUAGGGUAAUGGCCUACCAAGGCGACGAUCCGUAGCUGGUCUGAGAGGAUGAUC